rnacentral:rRNA from 1 species
AGUGAACGCUGGCGGUAGGCCUAACACAUGCAAGUCGAACGGCAGCACAGGAGAGCUUGCUCUCUGGGUGGCGAGUGGCGGACGGGUGAGGAAUACAUCGGAAUCUGCCCAGUCGUGGGGGAUAACGUAGGGAAACUUACGCUAAUACCGCAUACGACUUUCGGGUGAAAGAGGGGGAUCGCAAGACCUCUCGCGAUUGGAUGAGCCGAUGUCGGAUUAGCUAGUUGGCGGGGUAAUGGCCCACCAAGGCGACGAUCCGUAGCUGGUCUGAGAGGAUGAUCAGCCACACUGGAACUGAGACACGGUCCAGACUCCUACGGGAGGCAGCAGUGGGGAAUAUUGGACAAUGGGCGCAAGCCUGAUCCAGCCAUACCGCGUGGGUGAAGAAGGCCUUCGGGUUGUAAAGCCCUUUUGUUGGGAAAGAAAUCUUUCAGGCUAAUACCCUGGGAGGAUGACGGUACCCAAAGAAUAAGCACCGGCUAACUUCGUG